GAGUCUCGCUCUGUCACCCAGGCUGGAGUGCAGUGGCGCUAUCUCGGCUCACUGCAAGCUCCACCUCCUGAGUUCACGCCAUUCUCCUGCCUCAGCCUCCCGAGUAGCUAGGACUGCUGAUCUCUAUGGGUAUCUGAGAAUUCAGACAGCUUCUAGUUCAAGAAAUAUACCUGCAAAACAUUGAAGCAAUGAAUAAGAGUUCCUGUUUCUCCACAUCCUUGCCAGCAUUUGAUGUUGUCAGUGUUCUGGAUUUCAGCCACUCUAACAGCACCCCACAAAAAAAAGUCCUGGAGCCUGAACUAUGAUUAAAUGUAAUAUACUGCAUGCCAAUGAUUUUGAGCAUAAGAUGCAAUCAGUGUAUGAUAAGCUACCGAUCACCCCAAGGAAGCCACUGGCAGAAACAAGGAGAGAAGAAAGGCGUAACGAAUCAGUGAUGGAACAGGAAGGAAUCAACUGAGGGAAGCAAAGGGCUGCUGAGUCACAAGCAUGACAGGCAACUAGAAUCAGCCCGGGCUCCCCAGAGCUGCUGCUCAUCCUGAACACUGCGGGCUUGCUCAGAAUUUCCUGGCUGUCCUUUCAGACUUCGUGUGCAUCGUGACAAUACACCACUCUCACCUAACGGAAUCUAAGGAUGUCGCUACCCUGAAAUAGCCAAAUAUUCCAGUUGAAUCUAUUUGUUAAAGCUUAGUCAACCAGAUUUGUUUCUAAGGAGACACUGACAAUAAAAAUAAAAAUGAAAAACAGAAAAACAUUAUUUUCCCUGCAUAAAAG
rnacentral:lncRNA from 10 species